rnacentral:misc_RNA from 1 species
AACGCACAUUGCGCCCCUUGGUAUUCCGAGGGGCAUGCCUGUUCGAGCGUCAUUACAACCCUCAAGCAAUUGCUUGGUAUUGGGCUCCGCUGCUCACCCAGCGGGCCUUAAAAUCAGUGGCGGUGCCGUCAGGCCCUGAGCGUAGUAAACAUCCUCGCUAUAGGGACCUGGUGGACCUGGCCAGCAACCCCCAUUUUCUAAGUUUGACCUCGGAUCAGGUAGGGAUACCCGCUGAACUUAA